AAAUCACUGUAGCUACCGGAGAAAAUUCAAGGUUGUUGGAAUGGAAAAAUAAAAAUAUAGGUAGGCUCGAAAUUUGAAUACGAUCAGACUGUCCUGAAAUUUUUUUUGAAAUUGUGGCCAGAAUGUGGCUCACGCGCCGGCGCGUGGGAUAGACGCGCCGCCAGCGGCAGAGCUUCGGCAUGCGCGUGGCGGGUGCUUUUCC
rnacentral:lncRNA from 1 species